AUACGAAAGAUGCAAGCGUUGUUCGGAUUUACUGGGCGUAAAGAGAUCGUAGGUGGUUUAUUAAGUCGGAUGUGAAAUCCCGGGGCUCAACCCCGGAACUGCAUUCGAUACUGGUAGACUAGAGUUUGGGAGGGGUAAGCGGAAUUCCGUGUGUAGCAGUGAAAUGCGUAGAUAUACGGAGGAACACCUGAGGCGAAGGCGGCUUACUGGACCAAUACUGACACUGAGGAUCGAAAGCGUGGGUAGCAAACAGGAUUAGAAACCCUUGUAGUCC
rnacentral:rRNA from 1 species